rnacentral:rRNA from 1 species
GUUGAAGUUCAGGUAACACUGAAUGGAGGACCGAACCGACUUACGUUGAAAAGUGAGCGGAUGAACUGAGGGUAGCGGAGAAAUUCCAAUCGAACCUGGAGAUAGCUGGUUCUCUCCGAAAUAGCUUUAGGGCUAGCCUCAAGUGAUGAUUAUUGGAGGUAGAGCACUGUUUGGACGAGGGGCCCCUCUCGGGUUACCGAAUUCAGACAAACUCCGAAUGCCAAUUAAUUUAACUUGGGAGUC